rnacentral:misc_RNA from 1 species
UUAAUUUCGUUUCAUCGUAUAGAGAAAUGCCGAAGCAAUUCCUGAUGAGUUUCAAUCAGAUUGUUUGGUGUAUCACACUUGAUAAACAAGCGGAUUUUAAAUUGUUCCAAUGUAUUUAUUAUAUCCAAUAAAGGAAAUAACAAAUAACAUCGGGAAAAAAGUUGAAGUUCCACGUGACUGAAGACGAUAGUAGCCGAAGCCACUUUCGAAUUCAUGUGAAUUAAGGUGUGGUAAUGAUCCUUCCGCAGGUUCACCUACGGAAA